rnacentral:rRNA from 1 species
AGUUGGUAAGGUAAAGGCUUACCAAGGCGACGAUGCGUAGCCGACCUGAGAGGGUGAACGGCCACACUGGGACUGAGACACGGCCCAGACUCCUACGGGAGGCAGCAGUAGGGAAUCUUCCGCAAUGGACGCAAGUCUGACGGAGCAACGCCGCGUGAACGAUGAAGGCCUUCGGGUCGUAAAGUUCUGUUGUUAGGGAAGAACACCUAUAGUGCGAAUAGUGCUAUAGACUGACGGUACCUGAUGAGGAAGCCACGGCUAACUACGUGCCAGCAGCCGCGGUAAUACGUAGGUGGCAAGCGUUGUCCGGAAUUAUUGGGCGUAAAGCGCGCGCAGGCGGCUAAUAAAGUCUGAUGUGAAAUCUCGUGGCUUAACCACGAGCGGCCAUUGGAAACUGGUUAGCUUGAGUGCAGAAGAGGAGAGUGGAAUUCCAUGUGUAGCGGUGAAAUGCGUAGAUAUAUGGAGGAACACCAGUGGCGAAGGCGACUCUCUGGUCUGUAACUGACGCUGAGGCGCGAAAGCGUGGGUAGCAAACAGGAUUAGAUACCCUGGUAGUCCACGCCGUAAACGAUGAGUGCUAGGUGUUAGGGGUAU